GCCCUGCCAUAACACGGCAAUCAAAUAACCAAUUGCCCGCCAAAUAACUACGAGUAAAAACUUAAAAUUUAAAAGACUUGACGGUACUUCACAACAACCUAGAGGAGCCUGUCCAAUAACCGAUAAUCCACGAUUAACCCCACCCGUUUUUGCCCAACAGUCUAUAUACCGCCGUCGCCAGCUUACCUUGCAAAAGAAACAAAGCAAGCCAAACUGAACUACACUAACACGACAGGUCGAGGUGUAACUCAUAAACGGGUCAAAGAUGGGCUACAUUUUCUUACCAGAAGAAACGAACCGAGCAUGAAACAGCAACCUGAAGGCGGAUUUAGCAGUAAGAUAAAAAUAGAACAUUUACCUGAAACUAAUGCAAUGAAGUGCGUACACACCGCCCGUCAUCCCUGUAGAACACCAUAAACAUACAUAAACAUAAAUACCUCUUAAAGCAGGGCAAGUCGUAACAUGGUAAGCGUACUGGAAGGUGUGCUUAGAAA
rnacentral:rRNA from 1 species